CUACGGGAGGCAGCAGUGGGGAAUUUUACACAAUGGGGGAAACCCUGAUGUAGCGACACCGCGUGAACGAAGAAGCCUUUUGGGGUGUAAAGUUCUGUCGGCUGGAACGAAAAAAAUGACGGUACCAGCAAAGGAAGCAUCGGCUAACUACGUGCCAGCAGCCGCGGUAAGACGUAGGAUGCAAGCGUUGUCCGGAUUUAUUGGGCGUAAAGAGUUCGUAGGCGGUUAUUUAAGUCUGGUGUUAAAUACUGUGGCCCAACCACAGAACUGCAUUGGAUACUGGAUGACUUGAGUGCGGUAGAGGCGAGUGGAAUUCCCAGUGUAGCGGUGAAAUGCGUAGAUAUUGGGAAGAACACCAGUGGCGUAAGCGACUCGCUGGCCCGUAACUGACGCUGAGGAACGAAAGCCAGGGGAGCGAAUGGGAUUAGAUACCCGUGUAGUCC
rnacentral:rRNA from 1 species